AUUGAACGCUGGCGGCAUGCCUUACACAUGCAAGUCGAACGGCAGCACGGGGGCAACCCUGGUGGCGAGUGGCGAACGGGUGAGUAAUGCAUCGGAACGUGUCCUCUUGUGGGGGAUAACCAGUCGAAAGAUUGGCUAAUACCGCAUGAGAUCGCAAGAUGAAAGCGGGGGACCGCAAGGCCUCGCGCGAGAGGAGCGGCCGAUGCCGGAUUAGCUAGUUGGUGGGGUAAAAGCCUAGCAAGGCGACAAUCCGUAGCUGGUCUGAGAGGACGACCAGCCACACUGGGACUGAGACACGGCCCAGACUCCUACGGGAGGAAGCAGUGGGGAAUUUUGGACAAUGGGCGCAAGCCUGAUCCAGCCAUGCCGCGUGUGUGAAGAAGGCCUUCGGGUUGUAAAGCACUUUCGGACGGAACGAAAUCGCGCGGGCGAACAUCCCGCGUGGAUGACGGUACCGUAAGAAGAAGCACCGGCUAACUACGUGCCAGCCGCCGCAGUAA
rnacentral:rRNA from 1 species